rnacentral:misc_RNA from 1 species
GGAAUCUUUUUUAUCGACUUCAGUUACCAGUGAACAAGCACAAAAAUGAAGCAGAGAACAAGGCCACGAGAUAACAUUUUAACAAGGAUAACGAGCUUAAGACACGACAGAUGCUAGACAAUUCCACGAAAACUAAUCAGUUCAAAGCUAAGAAAAUUGAAAGAGCAAAUAGCAGAGAAAAUGCAUCUUCCUCGCAAAAUCAAAAUCCACCAAGCAAUAUACAAUGAUAUGUUUGUAUAUAUUGUGUAUUACUAAUAAGAAAAGGUGCUAGGGUACAAAACCAAUGUCCUUGAAGUAUUCAUGCUCGAGAGCAAUCCUGGCUGUAAUCCUUUUGCUGGGAUCCAAGCAGAGCAUUUUAGUAAGAAGGUCAAUGCCAGCUGGUUCAAGAGUUGGAACUACAGUUGCCAAGUCCUUAGGUGGCCACUUUGGGAAGGCAGACUUGAAGUCAGGCAAAGAAGUCACCCCAGGCCAUGUAUCUUCAUUUGGAGUUCCCAAGACUCUGCACAUGAAAACAAUAUCAAACAGUAGAAUGUUCAGUAACACACAUUUGGUAGCACUUGUGGAGGAAACCAAGAGUGGCUGGCUAGACAAACAUAGAAAAUAGAUUAAUCAUGGCAAGCCAAACUUUGAAUGCAAAAUAUAAUCAUAAAUAUAAAGGAAACCAAAUAGUACUUGAGAACAUAUAGCACCUGAAAAUCUUGAAUAGUUCAUCAAUCUCAGAGUCCCCAGGGAACAAUGGCCGCUGGUUAACCAUUUCAGAAAAUAUACAUCCCACUGACCACACAUCAACUGGAGUUGAGUAGUGUCGAGAUCCAAGCAGAAUUUCUGGUGCUCUAUACCAAAGUGUUACCACCUAGAGAUUAUGAUUCGGCAAAAUCCCGAAAUGGAAAUCAUCAAAGCAUUAUAAAUGUUAGUCACUAACACUGCCAAUAUUUCACAUGCAUUAGAAACUCAUUGCUAAUUGCUGUUUUCCUGUUCUAGAAUCAAAAAAAGGGAGAAAAUGCAAGAAAAUGGAUCUUUCGAUGAUGACAACAAACAAAAAGGGAAAAGCUGAUAUUCAGUUAGGGGUAUAACUGAUGAUUAAGCAAUUUUAAAAGACUAAGUUCUAUAAAUUGCAGUGAAAAAGACAAUAUACUUUGGAGUGGCAAUGAGCAUCUGGACAAUGAAGGUCAAGAAACACAGGGCAAACAGCAAUAACUCAUAUAUUGGAGAGGCUAUAUAAAAGCAUGUAGAUAACAGUCUUUUCUUUUCCCUCUUCCUUCAUUGGGUAAAAUUCUAAUUAACGUUCCAUGGUUAUUAAAGUUAUCCUAUUGGUUGUGAGAAGAGAAAGGACCUUAGAUGCUUAGACUAGUCAAACUAUAGGAGAAGCAAGUGUUAUUACAUAUUGAUACUUCUUCAAUAUUUUGACCAGUCAAAACACUCUGCACACUGCACUUCUUUUCACAAUAUUUAGAUCUCUUUGUUCUCAGUUUGCAACAAAGAAUUAAAAUGUAACAACAUUGAAGAAAAAAUACUAGGAAUUAGAUUGCAACAAGUCAGAUACCCUAAUCAAGUAUAUAUGGCAAGGCCAAGAAAACUAAUUCCAGUGCGAUUGGUACCUCAUGUGUAAAUGUCCUAACAGGAAUACCAAAUGCUCUGGCCAAUCCAAAAUCUGCAAGCUUUAGCACAUUGGUACGGCGAUCUAUAAGUAGAUUUUGUGGUUUCAAAUCUCGAUGAAGAAUUCUAUGAGAAUGGCAGUAGGCAAUGCCACGAAGAAUUUGGUAAAGGAAUUGUUUUAUCAGACGAGGAUUCUUAGCAAAUUCAGGACAAGAAUCCAUGUGCUUCUUCAAAUCCAAGUCCAGAUACUCAAAAACCAAAUACAGUCGCUUCUCACUGUGCACCACAUCAUGUAACCUCACAAUGUUCCCAUGCUGCAUCUCUUUCAAGAGGGAAAUUUCUCUAAUUGCAGUGCUUGGAACACCUUCAUCUUCCUGCUCCAAGCGUAUUUUCUUCAGAGCUAUAGUUUCAUUGGUUACACGAUCACGAGCCUUGUAUACCACUCCAUACGUUCCUUCACCUAUCUUUUCAACUUUCACAUACUGUCAUUUUUGAACAACAUAAUCAGUAAAACAAUUACAAGAAAAAUUAAAAGGUCCAGAAAAAAAAAUCACAAUAUACCCAUUUAUUACAUGCACACAAGCACAAAUCUUUUACCGACCUGGUCCAUCCAGUCCAGGUCAAAUGCCUCUGCAAAGGACUGCCACAUGUAACAAUGGAUUUUAGGAAAAUUUACAAAUUAAGAAGAUAAUAGUGUGCAUCACAGGACAAGAGCAAAUCAAAGCAAACAAGUUAGUUUCUGCUGGGUAGCCAUAUUAAAACAUUUGAAAUCACUUUUUCCAAUGGUGUGUUAGAACCCAUUCAUUUGGCCUGAAAGUAUGUUAUAUUCAUAUACAAGCAGCCUGUCCAUUUGCAUAGAUAGAUGCGUAUGUCUGUGUUAGGCAAUCACAUUACAAACAAACAAAUACACAGAUCAUAUAUAUACAUCAUUACAUAGUACUGUACCGAAUUAAAUCAUUGCUAGUACACCUUAGCACAAGGCACAUGCUAACAAGAUAAAUGAGUUGCAAAUGAAUCCAUACUAGGAACUACUUGCCCAACGAAUAACCCUUCAACAUCACCCUGGCCAAUUUGUUUUUCUUAAAAAAGUAAAGAGGGACAAUAUGACUAACCAAAAAAGCCAUGAUCAAAGCCCAAACUCCAACCUGUCUCAUCAGGAACCAAACUUACAUUUUUAUGAUGAACCAAGCAUAUUGACAGUUUGGACACCAAACUUUAUCCAAAUUAUCAUACCAACAUAAAAUUCUGGAUCAGUUGAUAAAACUUCAAUAAACUAUCCAUUUGUCAUGUAAAAGACCACCAAACAUAACUGUGAACGUAAUGUCAAAUUUAGUUAGUUAAAUAAAGCCGGAGGCUCAAAUGUUUGCCUCAGAAGAUAAAGCCUGCCGGCUAAUGAUUACACCUCACCAUGGUGUGAUCUGAAAGAGACGACAAACCAAAGUAACCAGGCUUGUCAACUUAUUAAACUCUAAUUCUCACAACCAAAUUAAUCUUUUAAUGAGUUCAAACUCAAUAACACAGUUUCUGUCAAGAAACAAUCCGUCAUAUAGCUAAGAAAAACUGCAAAUAUGCCAAGACCCAUCAAUGAGAGGACAAAAAUUAGAUUCAGGAAUGGCAUUGAUAAACCAAAUUGAAACUCACGCAAAUAAGAAUAAAAGAAAUUAAGAAAAAAACAAAAAUAAAACAUAAAGUCCAGAAAAUCCCCAAAUUGAUGGCAAGCCAACCAUGGAAUCACCCAUUGCUUAUACAUAAAAGAAACCCUAAAGAUAUCACCAAAAUUCCAACAUACAUUGCUGAUCCGCUGGCAUUUAAAGAGAAGGAUAAAGAGAAAUCCAGUACCUGGUCGCAAUUGGAAACCCGAAAUCAAGAAUCUGGUCAACGGAAUCUUUCAGUGACCGGAGAGAAGCGACGGCAGCAGAUUGAUUGAUUGAUGGAGAGGAUUUAGGUGAGUCCAGAGCUGCUGCUGCAACACUGAGGAGGUCAAGUGAAGGAGAAAG